AAAAUUGAAAUAAAAUUUGGAGUGCAAAGGGUUAAACAUAUUUUCUAAUAUAAUAAAGAUAUCAUGCCUUUAUUCUUAAAAAAAGUCGUAUCAUAACUUUCUUGUAACUAGUGUUACAGUAAUACAAUGAUAUUAUUAAUAAGAUCUUAAUGUAAAAAAAAUUAUGUAAUACUAUCAUAUUGUAGAGUAAAAUACCUAAGAUAAAAGAUACAAAAUAAAUAUUUAACCACAUGGUUUAUACCUAAAAUAGGCUGUGGUUAGUUGUGCUAAAUGAUUUCAUAUUAUUUAAAUCUACAUAACAAAAUCCGACACAAUCAUGUCCUACAAUUCUUCUACUGAAACAAAUUGUGCUUGUAGUAAAGAUAUUAAAAAAGAUGAGGAAUCUAAUUUUGAUUUGGUUUUAAAAGAAAAGUGGAUGGAAGCCCAGAAAAAUGGAGUGUUUCGUUAUAUAUUAAACAUUCAAGAUUCGAAAAUAUUGGAAGGCAAAUAUUACUUUUUAGUCCAGCUAAAUAUUGAUCGCGGUUAUAAAAGAAGAUCUCCAGAAAAUAUUAUUUCGAUGAACCAACCUUUCAAUGAGAAAGACUUUAACUUUACAAAACUUGUGUCAAAAGAACAAAUAAUGAAUUUAAAUAAUACAGACAAAGAUGAUAUAAUUGCAAUUAAUGCUAGUCCGAUUGAAUACUGUCAUUCUCUGCUGUUGCCACAAAGAUGUAAACAAUUACCUCAACUUGUAACAAAGCAUAGCUUAUUGAAAGCUAUUGAGUUGUUUUCCUUGAGUUUGUCUUCUUUGUAAGUAUUUUCAAUUAACCUUAUUGUAUCAUUAAGCCCUUAACCUGCAACGUCGUGUUAGAGACGUGGUACGUCCUACGGGCCAAACAUAAGCAACACGUGCACUUUGUACGUGAAACUUUGUACAUUCGUUGGGAUACAUGCGACAAACACUUUUUUUUCUUGUCCGCAUUCGGAAGUGCAGUAUAUUUUCUUGAAAAAUAUUAGAAAGGUACCCCUAAAAAUAAGUUCAAAAAGAAUGUUAAGCGUUGUCGAGGACAUUGAAAGUUCUGCUAACAUCGCAAAAAGUGAUUUGAUAAAUAUUUUAAAUAGUGAUAGUGACAGUAGUGAUAUUUCACUUUCUGUACGAGAACGUUGUAAGCGACUGGUUAUCGAAGAUGAUAUCGACGACGAAGACCACAGUAAUCAUUAACAACCAGAGCUAUGGAUUUGGGAAGAAGAAACUAAUGAACCAAAAAUUAUGAAACUAUACAGAGAUUUCUGGUAUAAAAGUAGGAACUUUGAGUUAGUUAGGUGAAAACAAAAAAGAAGUAGAUGUUUUUAAUGUAAUAUUUGAUAACAUAUUUUGGGAAAAUAUUGUUAUGGAAAUGAAUCGAUAUGCAAAUCAAAUAAUGAUCAAUGAAAAUAAAAGACUAAGACUAGAUGAAACUUGGUUUCCUAUAAACUGUGGUGAAAUCAAAAUAUAUUUUUCACUAUGUAUAAUAAUGGGUGAAGUUAAGAAACCAACAAUAUAAAUAAAUUGAUCUAAGAGAGCAGUUAUAGAAACUCCAAUUUUCAGGAAAACGAUGUCAUUCAAAAGAUUUCUGCAAAUAACUAGAUAUUUGCAUUUUGCAGAUAACAAUUCGGUUAACAAUACAGAUAAAUUAUGUAAAAUAAAAUAAAUAAAUUUUAAAUAAAAUAAAUUUUUUGAAUCAAAGAUUUAAAGAAGUAUAUACAAUGCAAGAGGACAUUGCUACCGAUGAAUCAUUGAUGAAUUAUAAGGGACACUUAUCCUACAAACAAUUUAAUCCAUUGGAAGGGACAAGAUUCGGUAUAAAAUUUUAUAAAUUAUUGACAGUGCAUCCAAAAGUGUUAUCAAAGAACUAUCACAGUCAAUAUUACAUAAAGGAUUGUUUAAAUCUUUAAUUAACAGUAAAACUAAUGUUGUUGGAAUAGUGCGCACCAACAGAAAUAAUAUGCCAAAAUAUUUUUCUAAAGUAAAAUUAAAAAAGGGUGAAUAUAGAAUGAGGAACUGCAAUGGAAUACUGGCAUUGAAAUGGGAAGAUAAACGAGACGUUUAUAUUUUUUCUUUAAAACACAAAACAGCAGAAAUGAUUGAACCAGACAAAAGUCGAUUCAAUUGUACUUUGAAACCAAAAUGUGUCAUUGAGCAUAAUAAAGGAAUGAUUGGAAUUGAUCGGCAAGACCAAAUGUUAGCAUGCUUCCCUGUGAUGAGGAAAUGUAUGAAAGGAUACCACCAAAAAUUUUUCUUUUACCUCUUUGAUAUUGCUUUGUUCAACUCGUACAUUUUAUUCAACAAAAUAAAUAC